rnacentral:rRNA from 2 species
CCGAAGCGGGGGAUAACAUUUGGAAACAAGUGCUAAUACCGCAUAAUUAGUUGGAACCGCAUGGUUCCAACUUGAAAGAUGGCUCUGCUAUCACUUUGGGAUGGACCCGCGCCGUAUUAGUUAGUUGGUGAGAUAAAAGCCCACCAAGACGAUGAUACGUAGCCGACCUGAGAGGGUAAUCGGCCACAUUGGGACUGAGACACGGCCCAGACUCCUACGGGAGGCAGCAGUAGGGAAUCUUCCACAAUGGACGAAAGUCUGAUGGAGCAACGCCGCGUGAGUGAUGAAGGUUUUCGGAUCGUAAAACUCUGUUGUUAAAGAAGAACAAGUGUUAGAGUAACUGUUAACACUUUGACGGUAUUUAACCAGAAAGCCACGGCUAACUACGUGCCAGCAGCCGCGGUAAUACGUAGGUGGCAAGCGUUGUCCGGAUUUAUUGGGCGUAAAGCGAGCGCAGGCGGUUUUGUAAGUCUGCUGUGAAAGCCCUCA